CUCGAUCAUCAGCAUCGAUGGCGGCUUCGUUAUUUC
rnacentral:sRNA from 1 species